rnacentral:lncRNA from 1 species
GUUUGGCACAAUCUGUAUUCUUUGGCACCAUUGAUUUGAGGGACUGGGUUCCCCGGCUUCCCCUUAUAAAUGGAACUCUUUUUAUGGUUACUAUAAUUUGACAGUUUUUACCUUUUCCACUGCAAAUGUUAGAUCAUUAUGACUUCGUGAAAUGCUAUUUAUUAUUUUUUUCUGUUACACCUUCCUUGCAAGAAGUCAUAUGAUUUAUACUAGUUAUGGGUCCCCCUUUUUUCUAUUUUUUUGUUUCGACAAUCUUUGUCGAAAUGUUCUGUCAGAAUAUUCGAGUUUCAUUUUACUGUUACCUAGUCGCAUGUUAAAUCUGCAAAAAUCAUAGUGAGAUGCUUAUCUGUUAAUCAAAACAAAACCAAAAUGUCAUCAUCGGGAAUUGCUUCCUUCUCAGAACUG